GCAGCGGGCAGGGUGGGCCGUUUGCCGCGGCUGAAACCAUAUGGCAAUAAUGGCACCAGUAACACCGCAGAGGCUGAACCCAGACUCUGGUGGUUUUCGUUGCGUGACGUUGAUGGGCGGUCUCUGGAGUCCGUCACGGCCGAAGCAGCAUUCGUAGGUCUGCUGUGAUCGGCUUAGACGUCCGAACCGUGUCAGGCCCUGGCGGGAACAGCACUCAGGAUGGGUGGUGGAGCCCCGGAGGUAGCCGCUCUGAGAAGCGCAGCGAGCUUGCCCCCAGGGAAUGGACAGUCGAAGCUGGUGGGCCGCUGC
rnacentral:SRP_RNA from 1 species